GAUGAACGCUAGCUACAGGCUUAACACAUGCAAGUCGAGGGGUAACAAGAGGAAAGCUUGCUUUUCUUGUUGACGACCGGCGCACGGGUGAGUAACGCGUAUCCAACCUGCCUAUAACUAGGGAAUAACCUUGCGAAAGUAAGACUAAUACCCUAUGAUUUCCUUUGAUGACAUCGGUUUAGGAAUAAAGAUUUAUCGGUUAUAGAUGGGGAUGCGUCUGAUUAGCUUGUUGGCGGGGUAACGGCCCACCAAGGCAACGAUCAGUAGGGGAUCUGAGAGGAAGGUCCCCCACAUUGGAACUGAGACACGGUCCAAACUCCUACGGGAGGCAGCAGUGAGGAAUAUUGGUCAAUGGGCGGAAGCCUGAACCAGCCAAGUAGCGUGCAGGAUGACGGCCCUAUGGGUUGUAAACUGCUUUUAUACAGGAAUAAAGUUAGCCACGUGUGGUUAUUUGUAGGUACUGUAUGAAUAAGGACCGGCUAAUUCCGUGCCAGCCGCCGCAGUAA
rnacentral:rRNA from 1 species